UCAGAUGGGAGGAGGGAAGCAUAACUAAGGGGUACAGGGAGCCAAUUGGACAAAGUCUAGGCAUAAAGACCAAUCACCAAGCAAACAAAACAACAAAAAAAGAGGGUCUGGAUUCACAGAAGGAUGAUCAAAACUCAGAGGUUCUCUCAGACCAACCUCUCUGGAGGAAUCCCCAAAGAGAACCUAAUCACUACGGUACUUUCUUUUUGACUUUUAACUGAAAUCUUCUAUACAUGUCUCUUCUCUGAGACCAAGCUCCUUGAAGAAAUAUACUUUUGGGGCAUGGAGAGGAGUAAUGAGGAAGUAGCCUGGAAAGGGGUCCUGGAGAACUCAUGAAGAAGCAAGAUCUAAUCUGUCACCCUUGAUCUCAGAUCAGGAAACUUGAAUUAAAUGAAAAAUUGGCUGAGGGAUUUAAGAAAAGGGAAAAAGAAGCAGAGAGAAAUUUGACUUGCCCUUUGGUUAAUAUUACAAAUUUCUGGGUCCUAUUUUCACAAAAAUAAAGGUUCUUGACUAGUUUCUAUGAAACAUUUAUCAGUAAAUUACACCAUAGGGGCUCAUCCUUAUGCAAGGGUAGACAGGAUUUCA